rnacentral:rRNA from 1 species
AUUGAACGCUGGCGGCAGGCCUAACACAUGCCAGUCGAACGGUAACAGGAAGCAGCUUGCUGCUUUGCUGACGAGUGGCGGACGGGUGAGUAAUGUCUGGGAAACUGCCCGAUGGAGGGGGAUAACUACUGGAAACGGUAGCUAAUACCGCAUAACGUCGCAAGACCAAAGAGGGGGACCUUAGGGCCUCUUGCCAUCGGAUGUGCCCAGAUGGGAUUAGCUAGUAGGUGGGGUAACGGCUCACCUAGGCGACGAUCCCUAGCUGGUCUGAGAGGAUGACCAGCCACACUGGAACUGAGACACGGUCCAGACCCCGACGGGAGGCAGCAGUGGGGAAUAUUGCAAAAUGGGCGCAAGCCUGAUGCAGCCAUGCCGCGUGUAUGAAGAAGGCCUUCGGGUUGUAAAGUACUUUCAGCGGGGAGGAAGGGAGUAAAGUUAAUACCUUUGCUCAUUGACGUUACCCGCAGAAGAAGCACCGGCGAACUCCGU